UACGUAGGGUGCGAGCGUUAAUCGGAAUUACUGGGCGUAAAGCGUGCGCAGGCGGUGAUGUAAGACCGAUGUGAAAUCCCCGGGCUUAACCUGGGAACUGCAUUGGUGACUGCAUUGCUGGAGUAUGGCAGAGGGGGGUGGAAUUCCACGUGUAGCAGUGAAAUGCGUAGAGAUGUGGAGGAACACCGAUGGCGAAGGCAGCCCCCUGGGCCGGGCCUG
rnacentral:rRNA from 1 species